GAUGAACGCUGGCGGCGUGCCUAACACAUGCAAGUCGAACGGAGAUUACGGACGGAAGUUUUCGGAUGGAAGCCUGUAAUUCUUAGUGGCGGACGGGUGAGUAACGCCUGGGCAACCUGCCCUAUACAGGGGGAUAGCAGCUGGAAACGGCUGGUAAGACCGCAUAAGUCGGUUAAAUCGCAUGAUUUGAUCGGGAAAUGAGCAAUCAGGUAUAGGAUGGGCCCGCGUCCGAUUAGCCAGUUGGCAGGGUAAAAGCCUACCAAAGCGACGAUCGGUAGCCGGACUGAGAGGUCGGACGGCCACAUUGGGACUGAGACACGGCCCAAACUCCUACGGGAGGCAGCAGUGGGGGAUAUUGCACAAUGGAGGAAACUCUGAUGCAGCGACGCCGCGUGAGUGAAGAAGUAUUUCGGUAUGUAAAGCUCUAUCAGCAGGGAAGAUGAUGACGGUACCUGACUAAGAAGCCCCGGCUAACUACGUG
rnacentral:rRNA from 1 species